GCGCCUGUAGCUCAAUUGGAUAGAGCAACGGCCUUCUAAGCCGUCGGUUGCAGGUUCGAGCCCUGCCAGGCGUG
rnacentral:tRNA from 3 species